rnacentral:rRNA from 1 species
GACGAACGCUGGCGGCGUGCUUAACACAUGCAAGUCGUACGGUAAGGCCCUUUCGGGGGUGCACGAGUGGCGAACGGGUGCGUAUGAGGAGCGUAGCCUGCCCCCGCCUUUGGGAUAACGAUAGGCAACGGGAGCUGAUUCUAGUUAUGUGCUCGUGCUGCAUGGUGUGGGUUGGAGAGCUCCGGCGGUUGUGGUUGGACUGGCGGACUAUCCGCUUGUUGGUGGGGUAGUUGGCUUCCAAGGCGGCGACGGGUACCCGGCGUGAGAGGGUGACCGGGAACAGUGGGACAGAGCUACGGCCCAGACCCGUACGGGAGGCAGCAGAGGGGGAUCUUGCACAAUGGGCGCAAGCCUGAUGCAGCAACACCGCGUGCGGGAUGAAGGCCUUCGGGUUGAAAACCGCUUUCAGCAGGGACGAAGGUGUUGGUGACGUUACCUGCAGAAGAAGCACCGGCUAACUACGUG